rnacentral:rRNA from 1 species
CCUACGGGUGGCAGCAGUGAGGAAUAUUGGUCAAUGGACGAGAGUCUGAACCAGCCAAGUAGCGUGAAGGAUGACUGCCCUAUGGGUUGUAAACUUCUUGUAUAUGGGAAUAAAACAGGGUAUGCAUACCAUCUUGUAUGUACCAUAUGAAUAAGGAUCGGCUAACUCAGUGCCAGCAGCCGCGGUAAUACGGAGGAUCCGAGCGUUAUCCGGAUGUAUUGGGUUUAAAGGGAGCGUAGGUGGAUUGUUAAGUCAGUUGUGAAAGUUUGCGGCUCAACCGUAAAAUUGCAGUUGAAACUGGCAGUCUUGAGUACAGUAGAGGUGGGCGGAAUUCGUGGUGUAGCGGUGAAAUGCUUAGAUAUCACGAAGAACUCCGAUUGCGAAGGCAGCUCACUGGACUGCAACUGACACUGAUGCUCGAAAGUGUGGGUAUCAAACAGGAUUAGAUACCCUAGUAGUC